UACGGAGGGUGCGAGCGUUGUCCGGAAUCACUGGGCGUAAAGGGCGCGUAGGCGGCGCGGGAAGUCAUCGGUGAAAGUUCAGGGCUCAACUCUGAAUCGGCCGGUGAUACUCUCGUGCUCGAGCACUGUAGAGGCAGGUGGAAUUCCGGGUGUAGCGGUGGAAUGCGUAGAGAUCCGGAAGAACACCGGUGGCGAAGGCGGUCUGCUGGGCAGUUGCUGACACUGAGGCGCGACAGCGUGGGGAGCAAACAGG
rnacentral:rRNA from 1 species